rnacentral:lncRNA from 1 species
UGAGAUAGUGUAACACGUUGGCGAAGUGUUGAUUAAUUAAUUUUUCCAAUUUACAUUGCCGGUAUGCAUAUAUAUAGAAGGACAUGAGCUUAACUGACAUAAAGGAAGCUAUCUCACAUCUAAUAGUGGUUGAGCAGCAUAUAUAUGUUUUAUUCUUAACCAUUCAUUCUUGGAGACAUCCCUUUCGUGUUAUUAUAGGCACAGUUGUAUGUCCAUAUCUUAAUGCAUUUAUGUGUAUACUGUGGGUCAUGCAA